UUCCCAUCUCGAACACGACCGUUAAGCCCUCCAGCGCCGAUGGUACUUGGACCGCAGGGUCCUGGGAGAGUAGGACGUUGCCAAGC
rnacentral:rRNA from 1 species